AGCGAACGCUGGCGGCAGGCCUAACACAUGCAAGUCGAACGAACCCUUCGGGGUUAGUGGCGGACGGGUGAGUAACACGUGGGAACGUGCCUUUAGGUUCGGAAUAACUCAGGGAAACUUGUGCUAAUACCGAAUGUGCCCUUCGGGGGAAAGAUUUAUCGCCUUUAGAGCGGCCCGCGUCUGAUUAGCUAGUUGGUGAGGUAAUGGCUCACCAAGGCUACGAUGAGUAGCUGGUCUGAGAGGAUGACCAGCCACAUUGGGACUGAGACAAGGCCCAAACUCCUACGGGAGGCAGCAGUGGGGAAUCUUGCGCAAUGGGCGAAAGCCUGACGCAGCCAUGCCGCGUGGAUGAUGAAGGUCUUAGGAUUGUAAAAUCCUUUCACCGGUGAAGAUAAUGACUGUAGCCGGAGAAGAAGCCCCGGCUAACUUCGUGCCAGCCGCCGCAGUAACAC
rnacentral:rRNA from 1 species